rnacentral:sRNA from 1 species
CAAUCUAAUUAGAAUAAGUUCUCCCCACUUACUCUUGUUGUUUAUAUGUCUCGCGUGGGAUAAUUAUCAACAACGAGGAGCAAAUGGGGAGAACUUAUUUUAAUUAGAUUG